UCUGCAACUCGACUCCAUGAAGCUGGAUUCGCUAGUAAUCGCGCAUCAGCCAUGGCGCGGUGAAUACGUUCCCGGGCCUUGUACACACCGCCCGUCAAGCCAUGGAAGCCGGGAGUGCCUGAAGUGUGCAACCGCAAGGAGCGCCCUAAGGUAAAACUGGUGACUGGGGCUAAGUCGUAACAAGGUAAC
rnacentral:rRNA from 1 species